GCUCCGAUGGCCUAGUAGUUAGAGCCCCCGCCUCGAAUGCGAAAGGUAAUGGGUUCGAUCCCCGGUCGGGUCA